rnacentral:rRNA from 1 species
CUAAAUACUACCCAGUGACCGAUAGCGUAUAGUACUGUGAAGGAAAGGUGAAAAGCACCCCGGGAGGGGAGUGAAAAAGAACCUGAAACCCUGUGCCUACAAGCACCUAGAGCGCGUCAAUGCGUGAUAGGGUACUUUUUGUAGAACGGUCCGGCGAGCGAUUGUAUGCAGCAAGGUUAAGGACUUAAGGUCUGGAGCCGAAGCGAAAGCGAGUUUGAAAAGGGCGUUAAGUUGCAUAUAAUGGGCCCGAAACCGGGUGACCUACCCAUGGUCAGGUUGAAGUGGAAGUAAAAUUCCAUGGAGGACCGAACCGACCUCCGUUGAAAAGGCGGCGGAUGAACUGUGGGUAGCGGAGAAAUUCCAAUCGAACCCGGAGAUAGCUGGUUCUCCCCGAAAUAGUUUUAGGACUAGCCUCAAGUUAGAUACCUGGAGGUAAAGCACUGAAUAGCCUAGCGGCCGAGAGGUUAGCGAAGCUUAUCAAACUCAGAAUGCCAGAGUAUUGAUGCUUGGGAGUCAGACAGUGUCAGAUAAAUGUCAUUGUCAAAAGGGAAACAGCCCAGAUCUACAGCUAAGGUCCCAAAGUCAGGUUAAGUGGAAAACGAUGUGAAGAUACGCAGACAACCAGGAUGUUGGCUCAGAAGCAGCCACUCAUUCAAAGAGUGCGUAAUAGCUCACUGGUCGAGCGUCUUUGCGCGGAGAAUUUAACGGGGCUAAACCUGACACCGAAGCUUAGGCAAUACAGCAAUGUAUUGGGUAGGGGAGCGUUGUAUACGCGGAGAAACAGUAGCGUAAGCGGCUGUGGAGUGUAUAGAAGUGAGAAUGCCGGAAUGAGUAGCGCGAAUGCAGUGAGAAUCUGCAUGGCCGAAAGCCUCAGGUUUCUGGAGGAAGGUUCGUCCGCUCCAGGUUAGUCGGGAGCUAAGGUGAGGCCGGAAGGCGUAGCCGAUGCACAGACGGUAGAGAUUCCGUCACCACCAAAAGAGUUAAGCACAGGGACACAUAUGAAGUCUCAGAGCCGGGUGUUGGUUCCGGUAGAGAUCGAGGGAAAUUAGUACCGAAGUCUGAGAUGGAAGAUGGCGAGAAAAGCUGUGUGUAUUUCUGAGGUGCCCGUACCGCAAACCGACACAGGUAGGUAGGAAGAAGAUUCUAAGGCCAACGGGAGAAGGGUUGUUAAGGAACUCGGCAAAUUGACCCCGUAACUUCGGGAGAAGGGGUGCUCCAGAGAUGGAGCCGCAGAGAAUCGGCCCAAGCAACUGUUUACCAAAAACACAGGUUUGUGCUAAAUCGAAAGAUGACGUAUACGAGCUGACGCCUGCCCGGUGCUGGAAGGUUAAGAGGAGAUGUGCAAGCAUUGAAUCGAAGCCCCAGUGAACGGCGGCCGUAACUAUAACGGUCCUAAGGUAGCGAAAUUCCUUGUCAGGUAAGUUCUGACCCGCAUGAAAGGCGUAAUGAUUUGGGCACUGUCUCAACAGCCCGCCCGGCGAAAUUGUAGUACCGGUGAAGAUGCCGGUUACCCGCGACAAGACGGAAAGACCCCAUGGAGCUUUACUGUAGCCUAAUAUUGGGUUUCGAUGUUGCAUGCACAGGAUAGAUGGGACUCUUGGAAACCAAGGCUUUGGCUUUGGCGGAGAGGCCGUUGGGAUACCAUCCUUGCGAUAUUGGAAUUCUAACCUGCGGCUCUGAAUCGAGUCGGGGGACAUUGUUAGGUGGGCAGUUUGACUGGGGCGGUCGCCUCCUAAAGAGUAACGGAGGCGUUCAAAGGUUCGCUCAGCUUGAACGGAAAUCAAGCAAAAGAGUGCAAACGCAGAAGCGAGCCUAACUGCGAGACUGACGGGUCGAGCAGUAACGAAAGUUGGAGUUAGUGAUCCGGUGGUAUGUGAGUGGAAAUGCCAUCGCUCAACGGAUAAAA